ensembl:miRNA
UGGGAGGAUUGCUAGAGGCUGGGAUGUUGAGGCUGCAGUGAGUUGUGAUCAUACCACUGCACUCCAGCCUGGGUGACAGAGGGAGAUCUUGUCUC